rnacentral:rRNA from 1 species
AGGACGAACGCUGGCGGCGUGCUUAACACAUGCAAGUCGAGCGGAAAGGCCCUUCGGGGUACUCGAGCGGCGAACGGGUGAGUAACACGUGAGCAACCUGCCCUUACGCUCCGGGAUAGCUCCGGGAAACCGGAAUUAAUACCGGAUACAACCACGGCCGACAUCUGCCGUGGUGGAAAGGAUUUCCGGCUAAGGAUGGGCUCGCGGCCUAUCAGCUAGUUGGUGGAGUAACGGCCCACCAAGGCGACGACGGGUA